rnacentral:lncRNA from 1 species
AAAAAAACUAAAUAAAAUCCUGGGAAACGUGAAGAAUGCCAAAGAAAUGGAAAAAUGAGGACAGAAAAGAAUACUACUGCCUGGUUUCUGUGGCCAUAGGUCAAGCUGGAAAACAUUUUUCCAUAAAACCAUGUGCAAUUUCAUGCCAUAGGUGAAAGAAUAGCCCAAAUCCACAAGGUACUGUUAUGUCCUACAAAUUCUUUCACUCAGUCAUUAUUGAUGUGAUUUACAAUUAAUACGUGAUUGUUUUACGUUACAUUAUAUCGUAACACUGUAUUACAUUAUACCAUGCAAAGCCCAAUUAAUGUAUUCUUUUUUAUAUGCAUUGUCAGCAGAAUCUACUAAAGCCUUGAGUGUAUAUGAUGUGUGUUGUGGGCUGAAUUUUGUCCCUCCAAAAUUUUUAUGUUGAAGCCCUAAUUUCUGGAACCUCCGAAUAUGACUGUAUUUAGAGAUAAGACCUUUAAAGAGGCAAUUCAAUUAAAAAUAAGACCAUUAGGUUGAACCCUAAUCUAUUCUGACUGGUGUCCUUAUAUUAAGAGGGAAUUUGGAUGUACAAACAGAACCAAGGAGGUGCAGAACCAGAAGAAAGAUCAUGUGAGAACACCGCUCUAAGUAUCUGCAAGCCAUGGAGAGAGACUUCAAAAGAAACUGAACUCUGACAACACCUCUAUCUCGCUCUUCUAGCC